rnacentral:lncRNA from 1 species
UAAUAAUAAUUAAAUUGUUUUUCAUAAUUAAGAAUAUAUUUAAUUAAAUUAAAUGAACAAAAUCAUAUCAGAAAAGGAAAAAAAAAUAGGGUUUCAAUUUCCCCCUUUUCUUCAUCCAUCCCAAUCCCUCUAUCAUUCUUCAUCUUCUUCCUUGGACCUUCUUCAUUUGACCUCCAUCAUUCUUCUUCUUCACAGAUCCUGCGUUCCAAUUUUUAUUCUUCACAUAUCUUUUUAUUUCUCUUCUUCGUUUCACUUCUUCAUCACAAAACCUCUUCUUCGUUCCCUUUUUUCUUCGACGUUUCAUUCAAAAUCGAAACCUUCAUCCAAAUCAAAAUUCUGGAAAACGUCCUGGGUGAAAAUCUAGACUGAAAUCCAUCAAAAUCAAAAUCGAAAGCUAUGCCGCUGCAGAUUAUGUUGUUCUUGUUUAAUUUGUUUCUUGUGUUGACAGAUGUUUUUGUUUGAUCUGUUUUUGUUUCGUGAUUGUUUGUUGUUCAUGAUACAAAAGGAAUCAAUUUGAAAAAAAUUGGUUUGAGUAAAAAUUUGGAUUUGUUGAAUGAGGUUUUUGUUGUUACUUCUUGCAGAUUCAAGAGAUGUAUAGUAGCAGAUCUGAAAUAAUUUUUUGUUGUUACUAUUGCUUCUCUCUUUGUGAUUUACUACAAGUGAAUUUCGUUUAACAUGAAGAUGAGUUAGUGAAUGAAUUUGGGAUGAAUUUUUAGACUUUUCAUUAAAAUGAAAUUAUGGGUUUAGGGAUGAUUUUUUUUGGUUUGGGACGAAAUUCAUGAUGAAUUUCU